CCCUUAGAUGUCCUGGGCUGCACGCGCGCUACACUGACGAACUCAACGAGCUUAUCACCUUGGCAGAGAUGUCUGGGUAAUCUUUUGAAAGUUCGUCGUGCUGGGGAUAGAUGAUUGUAAUUAUUCGUCUUGAACGGGGAAUUCCUAGUAAGUGUGAGUCAUCAGCUCGCGCUGAUUACGUCCCUGCCCUUUGUACACACCGCCCGUCGCUCCUACCGAUUGAAUGGUCCGGUGAGGUUCUCGGAUUUUUUCUGUUGUUUGGUUCGCUAAACGAUUGAAGAGAGAAGUUACCCAAACCUUACCAUUUAGAGGAAGGAGAAGUCGUAACA
rnacentral:rRNA from 1 species